UCGAUGGGAAACAGGUUAAUAUUCCUGUACUUGGUGUUACUGCGAAGGGGGGACGGAGAAGGCUAUGUUAGCCGGGCGACGGUUGUCCCGGUUUAAGCAUGUAGGCUGGUUGUCCAGGCAAAUCCGGAUAAUCAAGGCUGAGGUGUGAUGACGAGGCACUACGGUGCUGAAGUAACAAAUGCCCUGCUUCCAGGAAAAGCCUCUAAGCAUCAGGUAACAUUGAAUCGUACCCCAAACCGACACAGGUGGUCAGGUAGAGAAUACCAAGGCGCUUGAGAGAACUCGGGUGAAGGAACUAGGCAAAAUGGUGCCGUAACUUCGGGAGAAGGCACG
rnacentral:rRNA from 1 species